GUGAAAUUGAACUCGCUGUGAAGAUGCAGUGUACCCGCGGCAAGACGGAAAGACCCCGUGAACCUUUACUAUAGCUUGACACUGAACAUUGAGCCUUGAUGUGUAGGAUAGGUGGGAGGCUUUGAAGUGUGGACGCCAGUCUGCGUGGAGCCGACCUUGAAAUACCACCCUUUAAUGUUUGAUGUUCUAACGUGGACCCGUGAUCCGGGUUGCGGACAGUGUCUGGUGGGUAGUUUGACUGGGGCGGUCUCCUCCUAAAGAGUAACGGAGGA
rnacentral:rRNA from 2 species